rnacentral:rRNA from 1 species
AUGGCGACGACGCUGAAGGGCAUGUGGGGGCAAGUGAUGGGCAAGAAGGGAGAGGCGGUGCGGGAGCUGGAGGUCUCCAUCCGGGCGAAGGGCAACGUGACCCAGAUGGAGGACGCGCUGCUCCGGGCCUGCAUGCUGUUCUCGAACCUGAGCUACACCGCGACCUCCGCGGUGGUCAGUCUCGUUGGAGCGUUCGCUUCUGGCCAAGUACAUAAAAUUGUUGGGGGUCAACCUAUGCCUCGACUAUUCAGGCUUGGUUUGUCUGCUGGUGUUGGUUUGACUGCAGGGAAGAUGAUGUAUUAUGAAUCGUUGCAUGCAACUAGCCUAUACAUAUUGGGCCGUGGAGAGGAGCCCUUUGAGCGCUUGAAAAUGGAGCUCGCUAAUAUAAUACUUACUAAGCAUAGUGAUGAAAAGUUAUCGGUUGAAGCUGUAAAAAAGCAUUUCUUUGCCGAGAAUCUCUACACUGAUCAAUACCAGGAUAAAUUACUUUUCCGGUGGCGCCAACGUUACUCGUAUGUUGACAGCACCUAUCUGGAAAGGGUGAAGGAGAUUGAAGCAAACAACUCAGUGGAUAAGGACAAAACAAUGUCUGCCCAGACAACGGGAUCAUUUGGGAACCUCAUGGAGGACCCACUGGCCUGUAUACUGGGUUCUCCAGACAGCGACAUGGAGAAUGAUAAACCGCCUGAGCGCACAGCUACUAUCCUCAGGAAAAGAGACCUGCGAGCUCGGAGGAGAAGUCAGCGGCAUCAUCGUCGGCAUGCGGCAUUGUGA